rnacentral:rRNA from 1 species
AGCAGGCGCGUAAAUUACCCAAUCCUGAUACAGGGAGGUAGUGACAAUAAAUAACAAUGCCGGGCCAUCAUUGGUCUGGCAAUUGGAAUGAGAACAAUUUAAAUCCCUUAUCGAGGAUCAAUUGGAGGGCAAGUCUGGUGCCAGCAGCCGCGGUAAUUCCAGCUCCAAUAGCGUAUAUUAAAGUUGUUGCAGUUAAAAAGCUCGUAGUUGGAUUUGUGGCGUACGGUGUGUUCCGGGCACUUGUUGUCUGAGUAACCUGCUGUUGCCAUCCUUGGGUCGAACCUGUGUGGCAUUAGGUUGUCGUGCAGGGGAUGCCCAUCAUUUACUGUGAAAAAAUUAGAGUGUUCAAAGCAGGCUUAUGCCGUUGAAUAUAUUAGCAUGGAAUAAUGAGAUAGGACUUUUUUGCUAUUUUGUUGGUUUGCGCAAAGAGGUAAUGAUUAAUAGGGACAGUUGGGGGUAUUCGUAUUCCAUUGUCAGAGGUGAAAUUCUUGGAUUUUUGGAAGACGAACUACUGCGAAAGCAUUUACCAAGGAUGUUUUCAUUAAUCAAGAACGAAAGUUAGGGGAUCGAAGAUGAUUAGAUACCAUCGUAGUCUUAACCAUAAACUAUGCCGACAAGGGAUUGGUGGAGUCUCGUUAUGUCUCCAUCAGCACCUUAUGAGAAAUCACAAGUCUUUGGGUUCCGGGGGGAGUAUGGUCG